rnacentral:rRNA from 1 species
GACGAGGAGCUUGCUCCUCUGACGUUAGCGGCGGACGGGUGAGUAACACGUGGAUAACCUACCUAUAAGACUGGGAUAACUUCGGGAAACCGGAGCUAAUACCGGAUAAUAUAUUGAACCGCAUGGUUCAAUAGUGAAAGACGGUUUUGCUGUCACUUAUAGAUGGAUCCGCGCCGCAUUAGCUAGUUGGUAAGGUAACGGCUUACCAAGGCAACGAUGCGUAGCCGACCUGAGAGGGUGAUCGGCCACACUGGAACUGAUACACGGUCCAGACUCCUACGGGAGGCAGCAGUAGGGAAUCUUCCGCAAUGGGCGAAAGCCUGACGGAGCAACGCCGCGUGAGUGAUGAAGGUCUUCGGAUCGUAAAACUCUGUUAUUAGGGAAGAACAAAUGUGUAAGUAACUAUGCACGUCUUGACGGUACCUAAUCAGAAAGCCA